GUGGGGAAUAUUGGACAAUGGGCGAAAGCCUGAUCCAGCCAUGCCGCGUGUGUGAAGAAGGUCUUCGGAUUGUAAAGCACUUUAAGUUGGGAGGAAGGGCAGUAAGUUAAUACCUUGCUGUUUUGACGUUACCGACAGAAUAAGCACCGGCUAACUACGUGCCAGCAGCCGCGGUAAUACGUAGGGUGCAAGCGUUAAUCGGAAUUACUGGGCGUAAAGCGUGCGCAGGCGGUUUUGUAAGACAGGCGUGAAAUCCCCGGGCUCAACCUGGGAACUGCCUCCAAAACUGCAUGACUAGAGGACGGUAGAGGGUAGUGGAAUUUCCUGUGUAGCGGUGAAAUGCGUAGAUAUAGGAAGGAACACCAGUGGCGAAGGCGACUACCUGGACUGAUACUGACACUGAGGUGCGAAAGCGUGGGGAGCAAACAGGAUUAGAAACCCGGGUAGUCC
rnacentral:rRNA from 1 species